CCUACGGGAGGCAGCAGUGAGGGAUAUUGCGCAAUGGGCGAAAGCCUGACGCAGCAACGCCGCGUGAGCGAUGAAGGCCUUCGGGUUGUAAAGCCCUUUUCUGGGGGAAGAGGAAGGACGGUACCCCAGGAAUAAGUCCCGGCUAACUACG
rnacentral:rRNA from 1 species